rnacentral:rRNA from 1 species
GGAUUAGAUACCCUGGUAGUCCACGCCGUAAACGAUGUCUACUCGGAGUUUGGUGUCUUGAACACUGGGCUCUCAAGCUAACGCAUUAAGUAGACCGCCUGGGGAGUACGGCCGCAAGGUUAAAACUCAAAUGAAUUGACGGGGGCCCGCACAAGCGGUGGAGCAUGUGGUUUAAUUCGAUGCAACGCGAAGAACCUUACCUACUCUUGACAUCCAGAGAAUUCGCUAGAGAUAGCUUAGUGCCUUCGGGAACUCUGAGACAGGUGCUGCAUGGCUGUCGUCAGCUCGUGCCG